rnacentral:ncRNA from 1 species
UGUUAGGAAAUAUGGAGAUGUCAUCGGGGGGCCUGGGAAGAGUUAUAUUUUCUUUGUAAUGACUUUCCCACCCUGAAAUCGGUUCAACCAGAGAUAGGGUCCAACAUCUAGAAGAGCACCACACGUCUUGUGGUGUUUGGUUCCCUCUCGACGACCAUUGAAAAUAUGGAGAACCGAGUACCAUCCAUGCCUGAUUGUACUCAUAUAUGCCUCCUU